AUAUACUCUCCUUACCAAAAAAAUAAAUUUUAUAAUAAUGAUGGUUAUUUGUAUAUAAUUUGGUGUUUAACUUUUGUAUAUAAAAAUUAUUAUUUGUAUUAUUUAAUUAGUAUAUGUAUUAUAUUUAAGUAUUAAAUUUGUUGUUUUAUAUUUAGUUAUAUAUUUUAUAUUUAAUCAAAAAAAUUAUAAAUUUAAAAUUUACUGAACUGUGAUGUAUAGUUUGAUUUUUUUUGUUUGAUGUUUAAAUAUUUAACUAUAGAAGGCACAGUUGUUAUAUAUGUACCAAGUAAAUAUAGUAAGAUUAUUUAUUUAAAUUAAUAAAUAAUUAUUCCAGUAGCAAAAGCAAGGAAUAUUAUGAAACAUUUAAAAAUUAAACUAUUUAACUGAUAAAAUAAAAAGAUUUCUUGAGUUUUCCUGAAUAUUAAUAAUACAUUUUUAAUUUGUACUUUAUUAUUAACUGCACAAAAAUAAUCAGUAAAAAAUACAAAAAUUAAUAUUAAAAAAUUAAUAUUUAAUAUUUGUUUAAUAAAAAGUAACUGUAAAAAAACCAUAAGUAUUAUUUUAAAAAAUAUAUUUUUAAAAAUAUAAAAAUAUUGUUAAUAAAAUUAUUGUAUUUUAAGUACGUUUAUUAAAUGCGCUCGUCUAAGAAAUAUAUUUAAGAUUAUUCUUGUAUAUAUAUUUAUAUAAUAAUAAUUCUAGAAUCAAAAAUUACAACCUCAAAUUAAAAAUUAUAGUAGCAUAAUAAUUUGUUAACUAAUUAUUAAAGUGUUCCACAGAAAUUUUUUUAAAUUAAAACAAUUAAAAUAAGUAAUGAAAUAAAAUAAAAAUUUUAAUAAAAAUUAAAUAAUUAAAAUAGGGCAAGUCCUACUCUCCUUUACAAAGAGAACAUUAUGGUGUGGAUAUAUGUAAUUGUAUGUUUGAUUGGGGCAAUACUAUAUUUUGUUAUAUAGAAAAAGAACUAUAAUUAUUGAAAUAAUAAAAGGUUCGAGCAGGUUAACAAGCAUUAAUACUAAAUGUGUUUCAUCGUCUACUUAUUGCUAGUAAAAUUGAUUGUUCAUCAAAAUUGCAAUUCGUUAGUUGGGUUAAAAUCGUUGUAAAGCAGAUUUGUUUAUAUAUUUAAUUAAUAUAGUGUGUAAAUAUUAAUAUUAGUACGCAAGGAUCAAUUAU
rnacentral:rRNA from 1 species